ensembl:lncRNA
UUUGUGUGUUGGUGUGUGUUUGGUGUGUGUUUGUGUGUUUGGUGCGUGUUUGUGUGUUUGGUGUGUGUUUGGUGUGUGUUUGUGUGUUUGGUGUGUGUUUGGUGUUUGUUUGUGUGUUUGGUGCGUGUUUGUGUGUUUGGUGUGUGUUUGUGUGUUUGGUGUGUGUUGCGUGUUUGGUGUGUGUUUGUGUGUUCGGUGUGUGUUUGGUGUGUGUUUGUGUGUUCGGUGUGUGUUUGGUGUGUGUUUGCGUGUUUUGGUGUUGUUUGUGUGUUCGGUGUGUGUUCGGUGUGUGUUUGUGUGUUUGGUACAUGUUUGUGUGUUCGGUAUGUGUUUGGUGUGUGUUUGUUGUUUUGGUGUGUGUUUGUGUGUUCGGUGUGUGUUUGUGUGUUAGGUGUGUGUUUGGUGUGUGUUUGUGUGUUUGGUGCGUGUUUGGUGUGUUUGUGUGU